rnacentral:snoRNA from 1 species
AUUAGAUGAUGAAUCUAUCCAGAACCUGAUUUCACGUGAAUGAAACUCGUUUACGGAUCUGACUGCUGAUAU